rnacentral:sRNA from 1 species
UUUUUCUAAAUUGACAAUUCUACAUAUUUAUGGGGUACAUAGUGAUGUUUCGAUACAUACAGUGUAUUAUAAUGUUCAAAUGAGUAAUUUGCAUAUCUAUCAUCUCAAACAUUUAUUUGUGUUGGGAACACUCAAAAUCCUCUUUUCUAGCUAUUUGACAAAAUAUAAUCAAUGUUAUUUCAGUAAGCUCCUUUGAAAAAAUAAGGAAUUCAACCAGGAUAGUUGAGAUUCUACCAGAUUUCCUGGGGGCAAUUAGAUACUUAACUAAUCUUUGUGAGAUUCGUUUCGUGGAAACUAGACCUUUCAGAUCUUUCUAAUUUCAUUAUGUUACAUUGUCUAUAAAACUACCUGGAAGAGACUGUACCUGAGAAUUUUUGAAAGACCAUUUUUAGUUAUGGGAAAAAGAGUGAUACUGCUAAUCCUGUAUAUUACAUGAGAACAAGAUUCUGGUUUAUGUGUACUUGAUCCAUCUUGUCGAUUUUGAAGGUGAAACAAACUUAUAGCUUUUAAUUAGCUUUCUGUUUAUGUUUACAUAUUUUGGUUCCUUUUCUCACUGAGUAACAGUUAAUACAGGCAAGAUUGUUCUCUUUUAUACCAUAUAUAAUUACUAUUGUGCCUUAGAAUUUAGAACUGAUGAUUUCAUGCCAUCAUCUAGUCGAGAGUGCAUUCCCCACCCCCAUGUUACUGGAUUUCAACAAUUAAAAUUGUGGUGGGAGAUUUUUUCAUGCUUUCUAAAAUCAAGGUGAUGUUAAUUUCACAGUUUUCUUUCUGUGCCUAACAAUCUAAUUUUUAUUCUGCUUAAUUUUGAUAUUUUAUAAAGUUCUAUUGUCUUUGAAGAUUUUCAUAAACUAAGGUCUUAUAAAUACUUACACAGAUAAUUGCAUUCUAGUUCAGAGUACCUUUAUCUCAUAAGUGUUUUCCUGUAUGUGUGCUUUGAUGUUCUUGAUAUUUCAUGUGAUUAAAUAGUAUUAACAUUUUCUAAUUGUAAAAAAUAUAUUUUUAAGCCUUAUGAUUCUGCAGAUGACUGGUCUGAGCAUAUUAGCUCUUCUGGGAAAAAGUACUACUACAAUUGUCGAACAGAAGUUUCACAAUGGGAAAAACCAAAAGAGUGGCUUGAAAGAGAACAGAGACAAAAAGAAGCAAACAAGAUGGCAGUCAACAGCUUCCCAAAAGAUAGGGAUUACAGAAGAGAGGUGAUGCAAGCAACAGCCACUAGUGGGUUUGCCAGUGGAAGUAAGUAUUAAUUUUUUUUCUUUGAAAUGUAUGUUUGACUUAUUCGUAUUUAUUUUUUCAAAUCUGUAUCCAUUGCCAUCUACAUAUGUAAAUUAAAAUAAAUAGAAACAUAUGGAGAUUCUUUUAUGUUGGAUUUAUUAUACCCUCCACCAUUUUGGUCCCUGAAAAGGGAAAAGAUACACGGUCGAGUAGUACAGGUAUGUGUUUCCCACUACACAUUAUGGCUAUAAUGGAGUUGAAUUGCAAACAGUAAAAUUUUGUUUUGGAUUGGUCUCCCCUGAUCCCCCCAGACAGGAGCUUCCUCUCCCACCCUCCCUGCCUGCCCUUAAGUUGUGUCCUAUUAAACUGGACACAAAUCUCACCGGCUUUUAGUCUAAUAAUUGAAUCAUAGCUACACACAGUGACACCAGAAUAGCUACUUGUUUUUUUAUGUUACCAGUGAGUAACUUGUUUAUCCUUGUAUUUAGAAACUAAUUUCACCAUGAUCACAGAUCUAUGUAAUAUCUCUAGUUUGAAUUUCCACACAAUUUUAAAAUGUCUACUAGAAAACUUACACCUUUUUGUUCCAAGGUGCUCUUCAUCUAUAAAUCAAACCGUGGGCAUACUUCAGUGUUCUUCUGAGGCCAAAUUUUGUGCUGGUGGGACAAUUUUGUAUAACAUACAUUUAUUUUGUAAUUCAUUCUCCAAAUUUGAAGCUUUAUUAAAGGUAUUCUAUUUCCACUGGCUUCCCUUAACUUGAAUAAAAUUUACUCCCAGUGCCGUGGCUCAUGCCUGCUGCAAUCCCAGCCCUUUGGGAGGCCGAGGCAGGAGGAUGGCUUGAGGCCAAGAGUUUGAGACCGGCCUGUGCAACAUGGCAAGACCCAGUGUCCACAGAAUUAAAAAGUAACCACGCAGCUGUAAUCCCAGCCACUUGGGAGGCUGAGGCAAGAAGAUGACUUGAGCCCUGGCGUUUGGCUAUGAUCUUGCCACUGCACUCUAGCCUGGCAACAGAGUCAGACUCUGUCUC